GCCCUUUUUGUGUUGUACUACUAGCAAACCUGCACAAAAAGCAGUGCAAUGUUAAAAGGGCAU
rnacentral:pre_miRNA from 1 species